AACAACGAAAAAAGAGAGAAAUUAGAGGAACGGAGAGAAGGGUGGUUCGAUAUUCAAGUAUUGUUUUUCUUUUACUUCGUUCACAUUCUUUAUUUCACAUUCUUACCCUUUAUUUUCA
rnacentral:ribozyme from 1 species